GGUGAAGAUUCCAACUUCCUGGGCAGAGGGUCAUGUAGUGGAAUAGAGCUGUACCUGGCUUCAGGCGAGACUUGGAGCUCAAAACUUUCAGUAGGACAGCCAGGCGCGGUGGCUGAUGCCUGUAAUCCCAGCACUUUGGGAGGCCGAGGUGGGCGGAUCACGAGCAACUCCAAAAUGGAAGUACUAUUGUUAUCUCCGUUUACAAAUUAGGAAACUGAGGCACAGAUAUGCUCUUGGGUACUUGUCAGCAGCAGUUGUUCUACAAGCUAAAUAUCUGGAUAUCUUAAAUCUCAGAUGAGCGUCUUAGCCUCUGGAUUACUGCUCAAUGAGGAAAGCUAUGAAAUGCAUGGAUAACUUGCUAAUCAGUAUUUGCCAUAUGUGCUAGCAGCAUCAGCAUCAGUUGGGAGAUUAUGGUGGCCUCCAUGUCAGACCUCCUAAAUCGGAAUAUCAGAGAAGGUGGCCCAGGUUACCAUGCUUCAUCUGCCAAUGCAUUGAAAACUUGGAAUGUAAAUUAAUUCAACCAUUGUGGAAGAUGGUGUAGUGAUUCCUCAAAGACCUAGAAGCAGAAAUAUCAUUUGAUCCAGAAAUCCCAUUACUGUGUAUACACCCAAAGGAAUAUAAACCAUUCUAUUACAAAGAUA
rnacentral:lncRNA from 1 species